AUUCCAGCUCCAAUAGUGUAUAUUAAAGUUGUUGCAGUUAAAAAGCUCGUAGUUGGACCUUGGGCCUGGACGGGCGGUCCGCCUCACGGCGUGUACUGUCUUGCCGGGCCUUUCCUCUUGGUGAUCUGUUGUUUCGGCAGCAGGGAACCAGGACCUUUACUUUGAAAAAAUUAGAGUGUUCAAAGCAGGCUCGACGCCGGAAUAUAUUAGCAUGGAAUAAUAAAAUAGGACGUGCGGUUCUAUUUUGUUGGUUUUUGGAAUCGCCGUAAUGAUUAAUAGGGACAGUCGGGGGCAUUAGUACUCACAUGCUAGAGGUGAAAUUCUUGGAUUUUGUGAAGACUAACUUCUGCGAAAGCAUUUGCCAAGGAUGUUUUCAUUG
rnacentral:rRNA from 1 species